rnacentral:rRNA from 3 species
AAAAGUCGUAACAAGGUCUCCGUAGGUGAACCUGCGGAGGGAUC